AUUGAACGCUGGCGGCAUGCCUUACACAUGCAAGUCGAACGGCAGCACGGGUGCUUGCACCUGGUGGCGAGUGGCGAACGGGUGAGUAACAUAUCGGAACGUACCUUAUCGUGGGGGAUAACGCAGCGAAAGCUGUGCCAAUACCGCAUAAGCCCUAAGGGGGAAAGCAGGGGACCGUAAGGCCUUGCGCGAUUAGAGCGGCCGAUACCUGAUUAGCUAGUUGGUGAGGUAAAGGCUCACCAAGGCAACGAUCAGUAGCUGGGCUGAGAGGACGAUCAGCCACACUGGGACUGAGACACGGCCCAGACUCCUACGGGAGGCAGCAGUGGGGAAUUUUGGACAAUGGGGGCAACCCUGAUCCAGCAAUGCCGCGUGAGUGAAGAAGGCCUUCGGGUUGUAAAGCUCUUUUGUCAGGGAAGAAACAGCAGCUCUAAUACAGUAUGCGAAUGACGGUACCUGAAGAAUAAGCACCGGCUAACUACGUGCCAGCCGCCGCCGUAA
rnacentral:rRNA from 1 species